rnacentral:lncRNA from 1 species
AUCCUGUGAUUUUUAGUCUGAUCUCAAAAUCAGACCAUUGAGUUGGAUUUUACUCCUGAUUUAUUUACCCUUGAUUAUGUUGAGUAAAUAGUGAUAUAUCUAAUAAGUAUUAUUUACAAUGAUUUUCUCCCCCCAUACCACCAAUGACUUAAAAUGAAAUAUUUCAAGAGGUGAAGGAAUUAAAAUGUUAGAAAUAUAUUAGGAAUAUGGAGGGUAACUGCAGCAAUCUCAUAGCAUACACACCUUUCAUUAUAUAACCAGGCCAAGAAGCCUGUGCUGUUCCAGUAUUGAUCCGGUGCUCCUCCGUCACCAUCCGACCACAGAACCUCAGGCUGAUAGUUGUUCACUAACUCAUAGAGCUCUGGCAAUGUCUUAGAAACUGGAAAUUGCCGCUUAUGGAAUGAACUGGAUUCAUCCUCAAGGAAGAGCGGAUGAAACCAUUCAAAAAGGGAAUAGUACAGUCCAAAACGCAGGUUCUGGCUCUGUCACCCAGGCUGGAGUUCAGUGGUGCGAACUUCGCUCACUGCAUCCUCGACCUCCUGGGCUCAAGUGAUGCUCCCACCUCAGCCUACCAAGUAGCUAGGACUACAGCUUGGGAAAGUUCCUAGACAUCAGGAAAUCAGCAUGUUCUCAAGCAAAUACACUUGAUAGACAUUCAUCUCAGCAGGAUAAAUAUCUACAGGAGAAAAUCAUGAAGCUACCAGAAUGUGGCCAAAGGGAAAAAUAUCCUAUGAUCAUUCCAGAUUUUUUGUGUUGGUUCUCCUCUCCUAUUCCCAUCCC